UCCGGUUUGUCACCGGCAGUCUCAGUAAAGUGCCCACCUUAAAUGCUGGCAAUUACCGACAAGGGUUGCGCUCGUUGCGGGACUUAACCCAACAUCUCACGACACGAGCUGACGACAGCCAUGCAGCACCUGUGCGCUCAUUCUCUUUCGAGCACAGUUCCAUCUCUGGUACCUUUGAGCCAUGUCAAGGGUAGGUAAGGUUUUUCGCGUUGCAUCGAAUUAAUCCACAUCAUCCACCGCUUGUGCGGGUCCCCGUCAAUUCCUUUGAGUUUUAAUCUUGCGACCGUACUCCCCAGGCGGUCAACUUCACGCGUUAGCUGCGUUACCAAAACUAAUAAGUCCCGACAACUAGUUGACAUCGUUUAGGGCGUGGACUAC
rnacentral:misc_RNA from 1 species